rnacentral:rRNA from 1 species
AGGACGAACGCUGGCGGCGUGCUUAACACAUGCAAGUCGAGCGGAAAGGCCCUUCGGGGUACUCGAGCGGCGAACGGGUGAGUAACACGUGAGUAAUCUGCCCCUAGCUCUGGGAUAGCUCCGGGAAACCGGGAUUAAUACCAGAUACGACCACUUUAGACAUCUUCUGUGGUGGAAAGAACUUCGGCUAGGGAUGAACUCGCGGCCUAUCAGCUUGUUGGUGAGGUAACGGCUCACCAAGGCGACGACGGGUAGCCGGCCUGAGAGGGCGACCGGCCACACCGGGACUGAGACACGGCCCAGACUCCUACGGGAGGCAGCAGUGGGGAAUAUUGCGCAAUGGGCGAAAGCCUGACGCAGCGACGCCGCGUGGGGAUGAAGGCCUCGGUUGUAAACCCUUUCAGCAGGACGAAGCGAAAGUGACGGUACCUGCAGAAGAAGCGCCGGCUAACUACGUGCCAGCAGCCGC